rnacentral:rRNA from 1 species
CAGUCGCCGCGGUAAAACGAAGGGGGCUAGCGUUGUUCGGAUUUACUGGGCGUAAAGCGCACGUAGGCGGACUUUUAAGUCAGGGGUGAAAUCCCGGGGCUCAACCCCGGAACUGCCUUUGAUACUGGAAGUCUUGAGUAUGGUAGAGGUGAGUGGAAUUCCGAGUGUAGAGGUGAAAUUCGUAGAUAUUCGGAGGAACACCAGUGGCGAAGGCGGCUCACUGGACCAUUACUGACGCUGAGGUGCGAAAGCGUGGGGAGCAAACAGGAUUAGAUACCCCAGUAGUCCCUGUCUCUUAUAC